AUACGGAGGGUGCAAGCGUUAAUCGGAAUUACUGGGCGUAAAGCGCACGCAGGCGGUCUGUUAAGUCAGAUGUGAAAUCCCCGGGCUCAACCUGGGAACUGCAUUUGAAACUGGCAGGCUUGAGUCUUGUAGAGGGGGGUAGAAUUCCAGGUGUAGCGGUGAAAUGCGUAGAGAUCUGGAGGAAUACCGGUGGCGAAGGCGGCCCCCUGGACAAAGACUGACGCUCAGGUGCGAAAGCGUGGGGAGCAAACAGGAUUAGAUACCCUGGUAGUCCACGCUGUAAACGAUGUCGACUUGGAGGUUGUUCCCUUGAGGAGUGGCUUCCGGAGCUAACGCGUUAAGUCGACCGCCUGGGGAGUACGGCCGCAAGGUUAA
rnacentral:rRNA from 1 species